UACAGAGGUGGCAAGCGUUGUUCGGAAUUACUGGGCGUAAAGGGCGCGUAGGCGGCCUACUAAGUCAGACGUGAAAUCCCCCGGCUUAACCUGGGAACUGCGUCUGAUACUGGACGGCUUGAGUAUGGGAGAGGGAUGUAGAAUUCCAGGUGUAGCGGUGAAAUGCGUAGAUAUCUGGAGGAAUACCGGUGGCGAAGGCGGCAUCCUGGACCAUUACUGACGCUGAGGCGCGAAAGCUAGGGGAGCAAACGGG
rnacentral:rRNA from 1 species